rnacentral:rRNA from 1 species
CAAUAGCGUAUAUUUAAGUUGUUGCAGUUAAAAAGCUCGUAGUUGGAUUUCGGUUGAGAACGGCCGGUCCGCCGUUUGGUGUGCACUGGCUGGUUUCAACUUCCUGUAGAGGACGUGCUCUGGCUUCACGGCUGGACGCGGAGUCUACGUGGUCACUUUGAAAAAAUUAGAGUGUUCAAAGCGGGCUUACGCUUGAAUAUUUCAGCAUGGAAUAACACUAUAGGACUCCUGUCCUAUUUCGUUGGUCUCGGGACGGGAGUAAUGAUUAAGAGGAACAGUUGGGGGCAUUCGUAUUUCAUUGUCAGAGGUGAAAUUCUUGGAUUUAUGAAAGACGAACUUCUGCGAAAGCAUUUGCCAAGGAUGUUUUCAUUA